rnacentral:lncRNA from 1 species
CUAUGUUUGUAGACUCCAACUAUAGUUAUAAAGUAAUGGAAAAUAAGACUAUGGUAGUGGAUGAUGUACUUGAAUGCCUUACUGUAGAAAUUACAAGGCAAAAAAAGAAAAAUAUUAUUGUAAGUUGUAUUUAUAGAACACCUGGCUCUGAUAUAGAUGUUUUUCUAAUUGGAUGGAGGAGCACUUUUCAGGUUUAAAUCAUAAAGUCAUGUUUGUGGGGGGAGACCUUAACAUCGAUCUGUUAAACCCAUAUAAACACAAAAAGACUGACGAAUUUAUAAAUACUUUAUUUAGUAUAGGUCUGUUUCCUCUAAUAACUAAACCGAGUAGAAUCACAACCCAUAGUGCGACUUUGAUUGAUAACAUUUUCUCAAAUGAAAUAGAUAGUGAUACAGUCAGUGGAUUAAUGAUAAAUGAUAUUAGUGAUCACCUGCCAGUUUUUGUAUUGUACAAACAUGGAUAUUUAAAUAUUGAUGAUGAAAAAAUGUAUUGGUUUAGAAGGGUAAAAACAGAAAAAACUAUGGAUGCAUUUAAAAAGGAACUAUUAGCUCAAGACUGGAGUAUUGUAUAUAGAGAGAAUGAUACUAAUAAGGCAUAUGAUGAGUUUACGCAAAUAUUUCAUAAAGUAUAUGACAAAAAUUGCCCAAUGAAAAAACAUUGUAAAAACAGAAAGUGUAAAGAAAACCCAUGGAUGUCUAAGGGAUUACUAAAUGCAUGCAAGAAAAAAAAUUCACUCUACAAAAAAUGUAUAAAUGAUAGAACAAAAGAAGCUGAGGAUAAAUAUAAGAAAUAUAAAAAUAAACUGACAGGUAUCAUUAGAAAAUGUAAACAGGAUUAUUAUAAUAAGUUGUUAGAUAGCAAUAAGAAUAAUAUUAAAGGUUUAUGGAAUAUCUUAAAUAGUAUAAUUAGAAAUAAACCAAGAUCGAUUAAUUAUCCAAAAUAUUUCAAAGAUGAGGAUAACACUUUAAAUAAUAUGAAUGAAGUAGUCGAUACAUUUAAUAAAUUCUUUGUAGAUGUUGGACCGAAUCUUGCUGCAAAAAUUACAAAUGUUGAGAACUUUAAUUGUGAACUGAUAGACACAAAUCCUCUGUCCAUGUUCCUCAAACCUGUGGAGGAAAAGGAGAUACUGGACAUUGUUAAAGGGUGUAAAAAUAAAACCUCGACAGAUUACCAUGACAUGGAUAUGAAAACUUUAAAAACUGUUAUUGAAAGUAUCUCUAAGCCGUUAACAUACAUCUGUAACCUAUCGCUGCAAACUGGACAAUUUCCUGAUGGUAUGAAAGUAGCAAAAGUGAUUCCUCUGUUCAAGGCAGGAGAUAAGCAUCUCUUCACAAACUACAGGCCUGUUUCCCUUUUACCGCAAUUCUCAAAAAUCUUAGAGAAGGUUUAUAACUCUAGACUUGACAGCUUUAUUGAAAGGUGUAAUUUACUCUCGGACAAUCAAUUUGGUUUUAGGAAUAAUCACUCAACUUCACACGCUCUCUUUGAUAUAAUUGAAGAAAUAACUAAUGCUGUAGAUAACAAGAAAUAUGCCAUAGGGUUAUUUAUUGACCUGAGUAAAGCGUUUGAUACAAUAAACUAUGAUAUACUAAUUAAUAAACUAGAACAUUAU